rnacentral:rRNA from 1 species
CCUACGGGGGGCAGCAGUGAGGAAUAUUGCGCAAUGGGCGAAAGCCUGACGCAGCGACGCCGCGUGGACGAUGAAGGCCUUCGGGUUGUAAAGUCCUGUCAGGAGGGACGAAGUGGCUUCGGCCAUGACGGUACCUCGGUAGGAAGCCCCGGCUAACUACGUGCCAGCAGCCGCGGUAAGACGUAGGGGGCUAGCGUUGUCCGGAAUCACUGGGCGUAAAGAGCUCGUAGGCGGCCUGUUAAGUCGGGUGUGAAAGCCCGCGGCUCAACCGCGGAACUGCACUCGAUACUGGCAGGCUAGAGUCUAGUAGAGGGAAGUGGAAUUCCCGGUGUAGCGGUGAAAUGCGCAGAUAUCGGGAAGAACACCGGUGGCGAAGGCGGCUUCCUGGGCUAUGACUGACGCUGAGGAGCGAAAGCUAGGGGAGCGAACAGGAUUAGAUACCCCAGUAGUCGG